AGCCCCCACACUGGGCAAAGAGACACCUUGGUGGUGGUGGUGGUGGUGUUAUAUCACUCAGGGGCAAAACAGAUGACAAUUCUUUGUUCAUCCUAGCUUGAUGCCUGGCUUGAUGGCCAAAGCUCUUUCAUGCCUAGAAUGCAGAA